GCCACUGCUAUUGGGGUUCGGCUAAGCCAUGCGAGUGGAGGGCGUCCCGCAAGGGGUGGCCCCGCAGACGGCUCAGUAACACGUCGUCAACCCACCUUAGGGUGGGGGACAGCCUCGGGAAACUGAGGAUAAUCCCCCAUAGGCGGGGGAGGCUGGAAUGCGCCCCCGCUGAAAGCUCAGGCGCCCUAGGACGGGACGGCGGCCUAUCAGGUAGUUGGUGGUGUGACG
rnacentral:rRNA from 1 species